rnacentral:rRNA from 1 species
UAGGCGCACGGGUGAGUAACACGUGACUAACCUACCCUCCGAGUGGGGAAUAACCUAGAGAAAUCUGGGCUAAUACCGCAUAACACUUACGAGUCAAAGCAGAGAUGCGCUUGAGGAGGGGGUCGCGGCAGAUUAGCUAGUUGGUGGGGUAAUGGCCCACCAAGGCAAUGAUCUGUAUCCGGCCUGAGAGGGCGCACGGACACACUGGAACUGAAACACGGUCCAG